rnacentral:lncRNA from 1 species
CCUCAAUACCUACAAAAAUAAAUAAUGCACUAAAUGGAACAGUUGAAUUUUAAGUCAGUCUUAGCCGUCGGGUUGCAAUUGAAAUGGCCUGGAGGAAUGAGUCUUCCAACAUAUUUGAUGGCAUAAAAACUAUGGAGAUGAUAAUUUUGGAAAUAUAUCGAUGAUAUCUCUAUUCCUUAAAUUACUCCGUUAUCAACAACUUGAUCAAAAACGUGUAUAAAAUUAUAUAAUUCUGCACCCUCUACUUCUAGGUUACUUAUCAUUUUAUCAAUUGGAUAAUUGAAUAGAUAUGAUCACAUUGAUCAGCGUAAGCUCCUCACAAAUUAAGUAUACUCCCAUGAAUUGGUCAACAAAAGCUCUCUGCAAAAUGAAUAGCUUGUUGUUGUAAUAUAAAAAGUGUAA